GUCUGGUCCCAUUGUAGGGUCUCGGCCCAAUGUGGGGUCUUCCCAGUUGGCCAUUGUAGGAUCUUGCCCCAAUGUGGGUGCUUCCCAGUUGACCAAUUGGGGUCUGGUCCUAUUGUAGGGUCUUCCCAGAGUACCAAUUGGGGUCUUGACCCAACAUGGGGUCUUCCAGUUGACCAAUUGGGGUCUGGGCCCAAUGUGGGGUCUGGUCCCAUUGUAGGGUCUUCCCAGUUGGCCACUGUAGGGUCUUGACCCAAUGUGGGGUCUUCCAGUUGACCAAUUGGGGUCUCGGCCCAUUGUAGGGUCUUCCCAGUUGGCCACUGUAGGGUCUUGACCCAAUGUGGGGUCUUCCAGUUGACCAACUGGGGUCUGGGCCCAUUGUAGGGUCUUGGCCCAAUGUGGGGUCUUCCCAGUUGGCCAAUUGGGGUCUGGUCCCGUUAUAGGGUCUUCCCAGUUGACCAAUUGGGGUCUUGACCCAAUGUGGGGUCUCCCAGAUGACCAAUUGGGGUCUGGUCCCGUUGUAGGGUCUCGGCCCAACGUGGGGUCUUCCAGUUGACCAAUGGGGUCUUGACCGAAUGUGGGGUCUUCCAGUUGACCAAUUGGGGUCGCGGCCCAUUGUAGGGUCUUGACCCAACGUGGGGUCUUCCCAGUUGGCCAAUGGGGUCUUGGCCCAAUGUGGGGUCUUCCCAGUUGACCAAUUGGGGUCUCAUCCCAUUGUAGGGUCUUCCCAGUUGACCAAUUGGGGUCUGGUCCCAUUGUAGGGUCUUCCCAGUUGGCCAUUGUAGGGUCUUGACCCACUGUGGGGUCUUCCAGUUGACCAACUGGGGUCUGGGCCUAUUGUAGGGUCUUCCCAGUUGACCAAUUGGGGUCUUGGCCCAAUGUG
ensembl:lncRNA